AGAAGAGGUGCGGUUACUGCUGCUUGACAACUGGGCAGUGAGCCUCAAAGAAGUGAAGAGACUUGCCCAGGUUCACACAGCUCGUCCUGGAGGGAGCAGAGGGCCAUCUGCGUCGCCCCAGACACGGGAGGAUGAACCAUAUUCUCAUGGGCCUCUUAUGAGACAGCUCUGCCAACAGCUAGUUGUGCAGGGAAAGCUGGAAGCAUGAAAAAUACCAGGAAUCCCAGGCCUGGCUAAGAAGAGACGGCUCCAGAUCAAUAGCAAAAUCUCUGGAUGGUCUCGGGUACGAGCGUGGAGGGCGGAAGAGCCUCACUGGCCAGUUGGCCACUUCCAUCUCUUCUGAAGGGCAGACUGAGGGCAAGGGAAAGUCAAGUGCCCAGACAGGGCUCCCAGCUUGCAGCCCAGGGGGAGAAGCCUUGCACGCCUACCAGCUUGCAACACCUUCCUGCCCAGCCUAAGUGGCAAUGGUUGGGUCAAGAUGCAGCACUCGUGGUCCAGGGGCUGUCUCAGCGGAAGGAAGUCUACCCUCACCCCCACUUCGGGCUGAACAGGGUGGAGCCUGCCAGGAAGGUUUAAAGAAUAAAUAGGGGUUGGGACUUCCCUGGUGGCGCAGUGCUUAAGAACCCGCCUGCCAAUGCAGGGGACACGGGUUCAAGCCCUGGUCCAGGAAGAUCCCACAUGCUGCGGAGCAACUAAGCCCACGAGCCACAACUACUGAAGCCCACAUGCCUAGAGCCCGUGCUCCGCAACAAAGAGAAGCCACUGCAAUGAAAAGCCUGUGCACCGCGAGGAAGAGUAGCCCCCGCUCGCCACAACUAGAAAAAGCCCGCACGCAGCAAUGAAGACCCAACGCAGCCAUAAAUAAAUAAAUUUAUAUAUAUAUAAAAAAAAGAAUAGAUAGGGAUGCAGGAGCAGCUCUGUGUUCAGGAAAAAGCACUGGGCUAAGGCCAGCUCUAGGUUUGCGCCAGCUCUGUCCCUUUUGGAGGCGUGGCCUGGGGUCCAGCCCCGU